rnacentral:tRNA from 1 species
GAGGGUAUAGCUCAAGUGGUAGGGCACAUGCUCAGGACGUGUGAGGUCCUGGGUUCAAUCCCCAGUACCUCCU